rnacentral:rRNA from 1 species
AUUGAACGCUGGCGGCAGGCUUAACACAUGCAAGUCGAGCGGUAACAGAGAGAAGCUUGCUUCUCUGCUGACGAGCGGCGGACGGGUGAGUAAUGCCUAGGAAUCUGCCUAGUAAUGGGGGAUAACUUGCCGAAAGGUAAGCUAAUACCGCAUACGUCCUACGGGAGAAAGGAGGGGACCUUCGGGCCUUUCGCUAUUAGAUGAGCCUAGGUCGGAUUAGUUAGUUGGUGAGGUAAUGGCUCACCAAGACCGCGAUCCGUAACUGGUCUGAGAUGAUGAUCAGUCACACUGGAACUGAGACACGGUCCAGACUCCUACGGGAGGCAGCAGUGGGGAAUAUUGGACAAGGGGGGGACCCUGAUCCAGCCAUGCCGCGUGUGUGAAGAAGGUCUUAGGAUUGUAAAGCACUUUAAGUUGGGAGGAAGAGCAGUUAACUAAUAUUUGACUGUUUUGACGUUACCGACAGAAUAAGCACCGGCUAACUUCGUGCCAGCAGCCGCCGUAA